rnacentral:misc_RNA from 1 species
GCUGUAGAUAAUAAAGUUUGAUGCUUAUAUACAAUAAAAAUUCUCAGACAAAGCAGAACUUCUAACCUAUAACACACUAAGCAAUCUUGUAUACCUUAUUUGAAAGAGGCUAAUGUAAAGAAACAGGGUUUUCACUGAUACAGGAGACAACAUCUCUCCGGACUGGGCGAGAAACUUUCUUCUUUACAUAGGAAGAGUUCCAUUCACCACCAUCCUGAGCAUAAUAGUCCAUAGGAUAUUCCCCUUCAACCUCCACCUUAUCUCGUUGAUCACCGUCACAUUCACAUUCCUGACAAUCAUUACAACUCAAUUUAGCUGCG